AUACAGAGGGUGCAAGCGUUAAUCGGAAUUACUGGGCGUAAAGCGCGCGUAGGUGGUUCAGUAAGAUGGAAGUGAAAUCCCCGGGCUUAACCUGGGAACUGCUUUCAUAACUGCUGAGCUAGAGUACGGUAGAGGGUAGUGGAAUUUCCUGUGUAGCGGUGAAAUGCGUAGAUAUAGGAAGGAACACCAGUGGCGAAGGCGACUACCUGGACUGAUACUGACACUGAGGUGCGAAAGCGUGGGGAGCAAACAGGAUUAGAUACCCGGGUAGUCCACGCCGUAAACGAUGUCAACUAGCCGUUGGGAACCUUGAGUUCUUAGUGGCGCAGCUAACGCACUAAGUUGACCGCCUGGGGAGUACGGUCGCAAGAUUAAAACUCAAAUGAAUUGACGGGG
rnacentral:rRNA from 1 species